UACGUAGGUGACAAGCGUUGUCCGGAUUUACUGGGCGUAAAGAGCGCGCAGGCGGUCGAAUAAGUCGAAUGUGAAAGCCCCCGGCUUAACUGGGGAGGGUCAUUCGAUACUGCUCGGCUUGAAGGCAGGAGAGGGUAGUGGAAUUCCCGGUGUAGUGGUGAAAUGCGUAGAUAUCGGGAGGAACACCAGUGGCGAAGGCGACUACCUGGCCUGUUCUUGACGCUGAGGCGCGAAAGCUGGGGGAGCAAACGGG
rnacentral:rRNA from 1 species